GCCACCAUGGUGUAGUGGUUUGAGUGUUGGACUAUGACUCCAGAGACCAGAGUUCGAUUCCUCACUUGGUCAUG
rnacentral:tRNA from 1 species